AGACACUUUGUAUAAUUUCAAUCUUAUUAAAUUUAUUAAGACUUGUUUUGUGGCCUACCAUAUGGCCUAUGCUGGAAAAUGUUCUGUGAACACUUGAGAAGACUGUGUUUUCUGCUGUUAGGCACAGUAUU